rnacentral:lncRNA from 1 species
GUAUGUGUGUGUGUGUGUGUGUAUAUAUAUAUAUUAAUUAGAAAAAUUGUGUACAUAUAUAUAUAUAUAUAUAUGUAUGUGUGUAUGAGGAAGGCUGUCUUGGUUCACACGGGAGAUAUAAAUAGCAGAAACCAGGAGGAGGAGUUUCUCCACGCAUAAAAAUCCAACUGCUUAGCAAAACUAUAAAAUUAAAAUUGAAAUUAGAGAGACAGAGAGAGAGAGAUGGGGUGCAGGACGGUUUUGCGUUCGGUGUUCUUGACUGAGACAUGGAGGCCCUUGAAUGCGAACGUUGGCCUCUCUUCGUCUUCUUCUUCCUUUUCUUCUCGUUCAUUGAGGCGCUUAGGUACUUGUUCGGAGCAGGACAAGCUUAGAUAUCGAUGUUGUGAGGCGAUUAGGGCUCGAAAUUUCCAUUCCGCAAAAUCCACUCAGCUUAAUUGCUCUUACAAGGAUAAUCCAUCACCUUCCUCUGCGGAUGACCACGAUCAAGGACCUCCUCAAGAAGCUGUUCUAAAAGCCAUUUCAGGUUUCUCUCCCGCUUUCUUCUUUUAAUUAACUAGUUGUCGUGUAAAUUUUUGGUGUCAUCAUGUCUUUGAUUUUGAGCAAAAAAUUCACUUAUUGUAGUUCGGUUUUGAUUGGUAAGAACAUGUUUAAGUUGGUGAUACUAAAGAGACAUCUAUGCGACAAAUUUCUGUGCGCUGGGUUUAUUUCGUACUAUGUGGAGGUUCUGCUAGUCAAUGAUACUUGGAAAAGCCUUGAUUCUAUAUUUUGGAUAUGCUGAUGCAACUACAUAAACAUCAACUCUGAGGUUUUUAAUCUAUAAAUUUGGAGGAGCAUUUACAUCUCAUUAUGGUGGUAUAUGAAAUGAAAGAGCAUGGAGUUGCGUUUUCUUAAUUAUUUUUAAUGCCAAGCCACAUUCAACAUCAGUUUUUUAUGUUGUAAAAUCUCGGUUUAACCGAUACUAUACUAGUAUUUUUAGGUAAGCCCCCAAACUCUUCAAAUAUUGAACUUUAGCUAUAUAAAAUAGGCCAAUUUACACCUUGGAUUUUUGGGUUUAGUUUUUGGCUAUUAUUGUGACCUUAUUCAGAUUUCUGUUGUUACUAGGUCUUUCCAUUCAUAGACCAGUAUGUUUUUUAGAGUAAGAAAUUUCUAUUUCUGUUAACUCCUUAUAUUCUUGUUUCCGUGAUAUUUCUUCAUGCAGUAUCAAGGUUUUGUCUUGAUUUUCUGUAUUUUUGUUGUUUUUACUUAAUUCACAGCUCAUAUUGGAAAAUUUUUGUAAUUCAUACAUCACGUGCAUUUCAUGAAAAACCAGUUAAAUUAUCUUCCGUUAAUGGAGUAGAUUUAGUUAUAUAAAAGAUAAACGUUUUUCAAAUAAUUAAGAAGUUGUAUAUUUCAAGAUUUUGUAUAUGCUAAUUGUAAUUUUCUUCAAAAUCUGAAGGCUCCAAUCUAUAAAAUAAAUUUGUGUCAAUUAGAAAAUUAAAAGUGUAAAGACCUAGAACUUAAGAAAAUGGAAAUAUCGAAUUGUAUCAACUAUAAGCGAAAACAAUUUAAAAUUUAAAGUUAACAUUUCUUACAUAGUAAAUCAGGAUAUCUAAUAGAAUUACGAGAAUGUUUCUUUAUAGAAGUGUAAAGUAACGGAAUAAAUAAUUAAAACAAAACGAAAUAAAAAUUUUAUGGGGUUAACCUCCACUUGACAACUCCGAUGGGUUCCGAGAGGUAACUUUUGUUCGCAACCCUCCUACUGUUCAGGAUUUAAAUCUUGAUUUUCUUGAUUUGAAAUGAUUAAAUAGGAGAAUGAGUUACGCUAAUUCAGUAAAAAUAUCACAUUUAAUACUGAGACGAAAAACUGAAGGUUGGUAAAAAAUUAUAAAAUAACCAAUGGAGUCAUUUGCUUUUGUAAAUAAAUUCAUUUAAUAUAAAAAACAUAAGUUUCAUAUUUACCCUUAUGAGUUCCCAAAAUCAGCUUUUGAAGUCAAUAACCCAAAUUGUAUUUUGAUUUUAUAUUCAAAUGAGUAAUAAGAAUAAACUUACCUACUUACUAGUACUUCUGGGAGUUCAUAGGGAUAUCCCCCUUAUACGUGAACUCAAUAUUCAAUGUCUCGAUUAACCUACUGUCCUCAUAUCCCGUCCGGUAAUGGGCGCCAAACAUACCACUCCCUUAAUACCCUAUCUAGUAUGAUAGUGAAUUCUACCUCCCAAUUCCUUCCAGUGUGGGACUUCUUAGUCCCAUUUAAUUGAGAUAAUGUUCACGGUUGGGUUUUCCAUAUGUAUCGGGUCUGCACACCCUUCCCUAGGGUACCCGAUAAGCUUUUCAUCCACAAAUCCACAUCAUCAACCAAUCACACAUCGCAUAUCAACAUCUCAUUUAUACCAAUCAACUGUAAAUCAUGCAAAUAGACAACAUAUAAAAUUGAGAAAACACGAUUAGAACAUUUAUUUUAGAUCAAUCAACGGAUAUAGAUAAAACGGUUAUGUAAAUUAAUAAUUGAAAAGGCAAUUAGUUAAUAAAUUAAAGCACCCGAUAUAACGGUAAGCAAUUAAGAUAAUAUAGAAAUAAUUGUACAACACAGAUAAACUAUAUACUGAUCAGUUCUGGCUCCACUGAUGACUUGUAAUAAAUUUUAGGGUUUUUCUAAUUUUCACAAACAUAAUGUUGUUGAUUAUUAAGUUUCAAUUUACCAUAACGGAGAAAAUGGUGAGAGAUUUUUAUCCCGAAUCGGUGUUCGAAACACCGUACGUUUCACUGCGCCUCCUAGCGGUUUUUGGGUUUCCUGAAUUUUUCUUGUGGAUGUUAAAAAUACAUAUUACAUAUCCAAAAAUACCUCAAAAUGCCAAAAUAGGUGUUUUUAAAUUUUUUCAGCCAAUUUAGGGUUCCAACACAGUGGUGUUGCCGUCUGCAGGCGCCCCCGGCGGAAGGAUCUCCGGUUGCAGCGGCUCUAUUGUUCCUCCUUUGCGGUCGGGGUGUUUAUUCGGCUAACCUGCAUUAGAACGAAACGAGGGUCACGAUGAUUAAGAAAAUCGAGGGGAACGGGAAACGAGAAGGGAGUCAUCGGAGAGGUUUUCGGGUUGCGGCAGCAGCAGCUUAGCCGAGCUCUGCUUGCAUUUUCUGGCUUUCUUGCUACCUUUUUUGCUCUGAUAUGGGUGUAAGGAGGUUCGGAAUUCAAUUCCAUGUGAAAGAAAAUUUUUUUUACCUUCUUUGGCGUCUACGGUGGCCCUGGUGCGGCGGCGACGGUGUCCCUCCGGCGGCUGAUUUUCCCUC